AACCUUUGACCCUCACGUCACCCACAAGGCUUUGCGUGGAACAGGAGGAGCCAAGCUCACACAGGUCACGUGACCGCCCAAGGACCCAGCACUAACCGGAAGGGGCCUUCGAGCUGAUCCCCACUGCGGCCUGUAUACCCACUGACUACCGGGGUACCUCAGAAAUGAGUGCAGGUGCACAAAACGCUGGGUUCCACCCCCCAGUACUAAAAUACAGACAGACGGAUGGGCCAACAGACAGGUUUACCUUGUGCUUGGUUUAAGAAGACCAGCGAGCAUAGAACACAUUCUAAAGAUUUUCUCCCAAAGCUGGUAAAGCAGAACUGACCGGCACCUGAGUGACCCCCUGUAACCUGUCACCGUCACAUCUGCAGAAUGACAGAGAUGGAAAUAAAGUUUUAGGCAGAAUGCAAGCGUGUUGCUCUUUCACUUAGAGACAUCCCGGAAGUCAGAGAUCUCUCUGGUUGUCAUGGCGACUCCUCGGUAUCACCAGGGACCCUGGCUCCUCCUCCUUUUCUGUCAUCCACAGCGGGCGACUUCAUUCUCCUAGUCACCGCAUGAACCGUAAGAGUCACCAGCUCUCCAGCCCUCACAUCACCAUCCCCGUCAAGAAGUGAGCA
rnacentral:lncRNA from 1 species